rnacentral:rRNA from 1 species
GCGUACACGGUGGAUGCCCUGGCAGUCAGAGGCGAUGAAGGACGUGCUAAUCUGCGAAAAGCGUCGGUAAGGUGAUAUGAACCGUUAUAACCGGCGAUGUCCGAAUGGGGAAACCCAGUGCAAUUCGUUGCACUAUCGUUAACUGAAUACAUAGGUUAACGAGGCGAACCGGGGGAACUGAAACAUCUAAGUACCCCGAGGAAAAGAAAUCAACCGAGAUUCCCCCAGUAGCGGCGAGCGAACGGGGAGCAGCCCAGAGUCUGAAUCAGCUUGUGUGUUAGUGGAACGGUCUGGAA